AGUGCAUGGUAGGCAGUUUGACUGGGGCGGUCUCCUCCCAAAGCGUAACGGAGGAGUACGAAGGUACGCUAGGUACGGUCGGAAAUCGUGCUGAUAGUGCAAUGGCAUAAGCGUGCUUAACUGCGAGACCGACAAGUCGAGCAGGUGCGAAAGCAGGUCAUAGUGAUCCGGUGGUUCUGUAUGGAAGGGCCAUCGCUCAACGGAUAAAAGGUACUCUGGGGAUAACAGGCUGAUACCGCCCAAGAGUUCAUAUCGACGGCGGUGUUUGGCACCUCGAUGUCGGCUCAUCUCAUCCUGGGGCUGUAGCCGGUCCCAAGGGUAUGGCUGUUCGCCAUUUAAAGAGGUACGUGAGCUGGGUUUAAAACGUCGUGAGACAGUUUGGUCCCUAUCUGCCGUGGGCGUUGGAUAUUUGAAGGGGGCUGCUCCUAGUACGAGAGGACCGGAGUGGACGAACCUCUGGUGUACCGGUUGUGACGCCAGUCGCAUCGCCGGGUAGCUAUGUUCGGAAGAGAUAACCGCUGAAAGCAUCUAAGCGGGAAACUCGCCUUAAGAUGAGAUAUCCCUGGAGGCUUGACCUCCUUGAAGGGUCGUUCGAGACCAGGACGUUGAUAGGUCAGGUGUGUAAGCGCAGUAAUGCGUUCAGCUAACUGAUACUAAUUGCCCGUAAGGCUUGAUCCUAUAACA
rnacentral:rRNA from 1 species